AACUCUAAUUUCCCAAUCCCCCCCCCCCAAUCUCUCUCUCUCUCUCUCUCUCUCUCUCGUAAACGCUUUGGUCUUUCAUUUUAACACUACCCUUGAAUCUUUUCCUUCGUUAUUUUUCUUGGUUGCCAUGGCAGAUAAACAACCUCACUUGAAUGGAGCUAGAGUGAACGCAAAUAAAUGGGCAUUAGAGGUAGAACUGAGGUGCAAUUCGAUCCCGUAGUAGAGUGCCUCAUCAGCAAGCUCUUGCAUGAAGAAUCUGCGAGAUGUGAAGAGAGACGAUUUGAUAUGAGAAGGGGGACUAAGAAGAUCUAGGGAUCCCGAUCUAAAAACCAAUUCCCUUUUCUCUCGUAACUCUCUCUCUCACACUUCGAUAUCUCUCUCUCUCUCUCGAACUCGAUUUGUGAGUAAUGCCUUUGGACAAAUCUUAUGUGGGUGUGAAGUAUAUGAUGUUAUUUUGCUAGAUCUAGGUUUUUUUUUGUUAUUUUGUUAAGCAUGGGUUUUUUUUUUUUUUGAGGGUUUACAUUUUUUUUUCUUCUAUUUCUCAUGAUUUGUUGUUAAUAGCCAUAGCAAUGAAUGGUCAUAGACUUGCUCUUUGUUUGGCCCAAAAUAGUAACUCUCUCUUGCAAUCUUGAUCUGGUAGCAAUGCCUUUGAACAAAUCUUAUGUGGGUAUGUAUAUUCUAUUAUUUAGAUAGAUUUGGAUAUCUUUUGUUACUUUGUUAAAUACGAGUAUAAUGUAUAUGCUGUUAUUUGAGCAAAACCCAAAUGAUAGAAAUUGGUAAUCUCUUUUGAGUAUUUGGUAUUUAAUGUUUGUGAAUCACUGUCUGGUGUUGGUUUUCUGAUUUCGAGGAUUGAAGGGUUUGAUUGGUUUGUGGUCUCAUUCUCUAUUGCAUGUGUUUCUAUUUUUAUUGUUGUUGCUUCAUAUUGUUUGUUUGCUUGUUUGACGUUUGAAAGAGUUGAGAUUGGAGAAAAUAUGAAGAAUGAUGAAGAGCUCUGGAUCACCUACCCUACCCUACCUCCAUUAGAAGAGCCUAAACCCCAUAUGCCUUCCCACUUCUCAAAUGGAUUAUGCUUGGAUUACAAAAUUUAUGAUUCAUCUGUUAGGACAAAGACCAAGUUAACAUCGAUGAAUAUAGGAUUAUAGCAAUGUCAGGAGAGGACUUUUUAAUUAUAUGGGCCUUCAAUCCCCUGUUACAUUAAGUUCUACGAGUUUUGAUGGUUAGAAGUGCUUGACAUUGUCUGGAUUUUAGAGAGAGGAGGGGGGGGGGGGGCUACAGGCAACAGGGGUAGGGCUAGGGAUAGGGAGAGAGAGAGAGAGAGAAUUUGGAAUCAUGUUGGUUGUUUAAUGUGUCAGUUUAAUUGUUGGUCCCAUUUGAAUAAAUAUCUAUUUCACUAAUUAAUUAUAUAAAGUUUGAUAUUUAAGAAUUCUUUUGUUGUUGAGAAGUUAGGUUUCACAUGUCUAUCUCUAAUGCCUUGAACAUGCAGUUGUUUAAUUAUAUUGCUUUGGUUUCAUUUCUCAAAACUUUUUUAGAAUUGCUUCUGACCACUUUGCAGAGGGUUUAGGAAUUGUUAACAUGUUAUGGAUGCUUGUUACCUAUAAAAAAAACUUGUUAUGGAUGCUCUUUGCCUCCUUUUUAUGCUACUAAUAUUCUUUUAAUUUUCUCUUUGCUUCCAUAUAUAUGUAAUGGUAGAGCCCAAGAGGUGGAGAACAAUGAGAUGCACAUUCCUUUAUAUGGGUUGAUAUCAUUCUACUUGCUUUCAGAUUUACUGAUUUUGUAAUUCAUAUAUUGUAAUUUAGUAUUUGGUAAUGCAAUGUAUAAAUAACAAAUAAUAUAAUAUGUAGUGGAUUGUAUUAUGAUGCAUGCAUACUUGCAUGGAUGAA